rnacentral:rRNA from 1 species
CCUACGGGGGGCUGCAGUCGAGAAUCAUUCACAAUGGGGGAAACCCUGAUGGAGCGACGCCGCGUGGGGGAAUGAAGGUCUUCGGAUUGUAAACCCCUGUCAUGUGGGAGCAAAUUAAAAAGAUAGUACCACAAGAGGAAGAGACGGCUAACUCUGUGCCAGCAGCCGCGGUAAUACAGAGGUCUCAAGCGUUGUUCGGAAUCACUGGGCGUAAAGCGUGCGUAGGCUGUUUCGUAAGUCGUGUGUGAAAGGCGCGGGCUCAACCCGCGGACGGCACAUGAUACUGAGAGACUAGAGUAAUGGAGGGGGAACCGGAAUUCUCGGUGUAGCAGUGAAAUGCGUAGAUAUCGGGAGGAACACUCGUGGCGAAGGCGGGUUCCUGGACAUUAACUGACGCUGAGGCACGAAGGCCAGGGGAGCGAAAAGGAUUAGAUACCCUUGUAGUC